rnacentral:rRNA from 1 species
CUUGACUCUGGGAUAAGCCUGGGAAACUGGGUCUAAUACCGGAUAUGACUCCUCAUCGCAUGGUGGGGGGUGGAAAGCUUUUUGUGGUUUUGGAUGGACUCGCGGCCUAUCAGCUUGUUGGUGAGGUAAUGGCUCACCAAGGCGACGACGGGUAGCCGGCCUGAGAGGGUGACCGGCCACACUGGGACUGAGACACGGCCCAGACUCCUACGGGAGGCAGCAGUGGGGAAUAUUGCACAAUGGGCGAAAGCCUGAUGCAGCGACGCCGCGUGAGGGAUGACGGCCUUCGGGUUGUAAACCUCUUUCAGUAGGGAAGAAGGGAAAGUGACGGUACCUGCAGAAGAAGCGCCGGCUAACUACGUGCCAGCAGCCGCGGUAAUACGUAGGGCGCAAGCGUUAUCCGGAAUUAUUGGGCGUAAAGAGCUCGUAGGCGGUUUGUCGCGUCUGCCGUGAAAGUCCGGGGCUCAACUCCGGAUCUGCGGAGGGUACGGGCAGACUAGAGUGAUGUAGGGGAGACUGGAAUUCCUGGUGUAGCGGUGAAAUGCGCAGAUAUCAGGAGGAACACCGAUGGCGAAGGCAGGUCUCUGGGCAUUAGCUGACGCUGAGGAGCGAUAGCAUGGGGAGCGAACAGGAUUAGAUACCCUGGUAGU